rnacentral:lncRNA from 10 species
AUACAAAAGGAAUGGAAGUUAAACAGAUAAAAAUGCUGAAGAGGGAGUCAAAGAAAACAGAGUCAUCUAAGAUACCAACUUUACUUAACGUGGAUCAAAAUCAAGAAAAACAAGAGUUUAUUCCCUUAUCUCUGCUGUCUGCCUGCUGUCCUAUUUUCACAAAUAUUUGCUCUCAGCUAACUAUCAGGGUGGAGAUGGCCAUUGCGAGGGGAAGAAUUUGAAGAGAAACAGGUUUUUUUUCUGGUAGUGUCUUUUCUUUUACAUAGUCCAAAAAAUACAAGAUGACAACUCUUCCCGUUUUAUUUAUCUACAAUAGAAGUGUGAUGUGAGUUGUUGUUAAGACAGCCAUCCAUGUGCAUGAGCAUCAUCCAGCUUUUUUUGUUAGCAAAACAUUUACUGUUUUCUUUUCCCUUUUAAGACUCUGUUGAUGUGAUAAUUUGAUUUGGAAUUAUAAAGUCAUCUCUUC